AACCAUACAUGAUUUGCCACCUACCUAUGGGUCCAUUCUGACUCUGUCUGCUCUUUGAUUUUCACAGUCCUGUGACCCCCACUCAACACAGAGAAGAACCCGCCACCUGCUAAGACCCUCACUGAAUUCAAGGUCAUGUGCUGAAGACUCACAAGUGCGGCCUUGCCUCCUCAAUGAAAAUUGCUUCCAGUUCCAGUACAAUCUAACAGAGUGGAGCACAUGCCAGCUGAAUGAAAAUGCUACCUGCGGACAAGGUAUCAGGACCCGCCUUCUGAGCUGUGUACGCAGCGAUGGCAAGCCAGUUGGUGUGGACCAGUGUGAGCAGCGUAACUUGGAGAAGCCCCAGAGAAUGAGCAUUCACUGCCUGGUGGAAUGUGUAGUCAACUGUCAGCUCUCAGGGUGGACAGCUUGGACAGAAUGUUCAAAGACUUGUGGCCAUGGAGGUCGAAUGAGCCGGACUCGAUUUAUCAUUAUGCCAACCCAAGGAGAAGGACGGCCAUGCCCCACAGAGCUUACCCAGCAGAAAACCUGCCCAGUGACGCCCUGCUACAGCUGGGUCCUUGGCAACUGGGCUGCAUGCAAA